UACGUAGGGACCUAGCGUUGUCCGGAAUCAUUGGGCGUAAAGCGCGCGUAGGCGGCCCGGUAAGUCCGUUGUAAAAGUCAAAGGCUCAACCUUUGAAUGCCGAUGGAUACUGCCGGGCUAGAGUCCGGAAGAGGCGAGUAGAAUUCCUGGUGUAGCGGUGGAAUGCGCAGAUAUCAGGAGGAAUACCCAUAGCGAAGGCAGCUCGCUGGGACGGUACUGACGCUGAGGCGCGAAAGCGUGGGGAGCGAACAGG
rnacentral:rRNA from 1 species